AUUGAACGCUGGCGGCAUGCCUUACACAUGCAAGUCGAACGGCAGCAUGAUCUAGCUUGCUAGAUUGAUGGCGAGUGGCGAACGGGUGAGUAAUACAUCGGAACGUGCCCUGUAGUGGGGGAUAACUAGUCGAAAGAUUAGCUGAUACCGCAUACGACCUGAGGGUGAAAGUGGGGGACCGCAAGGCCUCAUGCUAUAGGUGCGGCCGAUGUCUGAUUAGCUAGUUGGUGAGGUAAAGGCUCACCAAGGCGACGAUCAGUAGCUGGUCUGAGAGGACGAUCAGCCACACUGGGACUGAGACACGGCCCAGACUCCUACGGGAGGCAGCAGUGGGGAAUUUUGGACAAUGGGCGAAAGCCUGAUCCAGCAAUGCCGCGUGUGUGAAGAAGGCCUUCGGGUUGUAAAGCACUUUUGUCCGGAAAGAAAUGGCUCUGGUUAAUACCUGGGGUCGAUGACGGUACCGGAAGAAUAAGGACCGGCUAACUACGUG
rnacentral:rRNA from 1 species